CAUGCCCUAAAGAAAAAAAAAAAAGGGGGGGGAAAAAGAUUAAGGUAUGCAUUCUCCCUCCAAAUAAUAUAUGUCAAUUUGCUUCUAAAGACAGACUGGACACCAGUGAUUGCCUUUUUCUAUUGCAGGAGGAGACACUGAUGGUUGAUACUAGACCUAUGUACUCAACUUCCCAGCAAGUAUAAAUUCUGCAGGAAAGGUGUUGGACUUCAGACUAUCCCAGUAUAAGAGAUAGAUAAGAGUUCCAUAUGAAAUUCAUAGCAUAUUUUCAGUGUGCUCUUGUAACUACAUUAUUGAACACAUCCAAGAAACACCAUUUCUGGGGCAAAUAUAAGAAGUAUUUUGGGAUUAUGCAAGCUUCCUGGAUGGUUUUACUAAAAAGGAUCAGCAAUUAAAGGUUUAACACUGAUGUUCAAAUAAUCUGACUUCAGGACUGAUGUCAGUUUUGCUUCAGUUUAAGUUUUUGUUUCCAACCUUGCAAAUACAUGGAAGUGUAAUCCUCUGUUUAAUAUAUGAGAAAGAGAUGGUCUUUAACUCAUGUAUUUCCUGACUGAAUAUUCAAGUUUGCUUAACUAUGUCAGCUUGUUCUUUUCCAGAAGGAACUCUGAUCUUUUAGGUAGCUUCUUGUAUGUAAUGACCCUUUUCAAUUUAUAACCUUUUCAGACUCUCCCACAAAAGCAUAUUUGUUAUUCAACCUGCUUAAUGUGAUUUUUUCCUUCCAUUGUUUUUCCCAUCUUCCUCCAAAGUAGCAAGAAGUCCCUACUCCAUAAAGUUGAAGUUCUUAAAAACUAUCUAUAUGCAUUGGUGUUGUAUCAAGUUACAGUAUUUUGGCUGAGACAGACCUGUAGGUUAAAGAAAAGGAUAUACUGCAAAGUGACACAGGACUCAACAUAUAAAAAAGUUAGUAGAACAGUUUGAAGAUCAACUAGACUAAAAUAGCAGGGUUUGGCGGGUUGCUCCCCACACACACCCCUUCCCUUAAAUAAAGAGAAGGAACUUAACCUGGUCAAAGCUACAACAGUAUUCAUAGCAAGCACUUCUGAGGCAUCCAUUGGCAUGAAAGCAUUCAGAAGAAACUGAUUCCUGCUUCCUAAUACUGAAUGUGACAGCUUCUGCAAACUACAUAGGCUGGAAAAGGAGGAAGAGAAAGCAGGGAGCAACACAAAGGCCAAACAUCCUCAGUAUGCUGCACCAUCUAUGACUUGAAAAGGGAGAAGGGACAUCCUGGAAGUUAAAGGUAACAAUAUUUUAGAACUAUUUUACUAUUUUUAUGAAUUGCUGUAAGGAGCUAAGAACAGUGCUGCUGAAGUAAAAUGUUUUCAACUUUCAUAGAGCAGGCUAGCAUAAAAAACCCCCACAACAAUUUGAGGAAGUCUGUGGAAAGAAAGGAUAGAAAGCUUCCAAUGCAGGAGGCAAAUCCCAAACCCCAACAUGCUCAAGCAGGAAAGCAAUGCAGAGAGAGAACUCUAAGGAAUACACUCUAAAGAAUAGUCUGCUGGGCUGUUGAUACAGGAAACCUGAUGUAUAUUAUCACUGAACUGAAGAGAGGCAAGUCAUCAGUCUGUUUGGAAAAUAACUUCACGCUCCGUUAUUUGAUAGAGCAAUACUGUGAUACUUGAAAGCCUGUGACCCAAGAGAGUAGUAAUGCUCGGACUACAGCAAAUUCUACAGUUGUUCCAACAGCACUUACACCAAGAAACACCCUUGAAGAACAUCUAGAAAGAGAUCUGAACUCCACGCAGACCUUAAUUGUAAAAAACAACA